CGUGCUUACACAUGCAAGUCGAACGGUGAAGCAGAGCUUGCUCUGUGGAUAUGUGGCGAACGGGUGAGUAACACGUGAGCAAUCUGCCCCUGACUCUGGGAUAAGCGCUGGAAACGGCGUCUAAUACCGGAUACGAGACGUGAAGGCAUCUUCAACGUCUGGAAAGAACUUCGGUCAGGGAUGAGCUCGCGGCCUAUCAGCUAGUUGGUGAGGUAAUGGCUCACCAAGGCGUCGACGGGUAGCCGGCCUGAGAGGGUGACCGGCCACACUGGGACUGAGACACGGCCCAGACUCCUACGGGAGGCAGCAGUGGGGAAUAUUGCACAAUGGGCGCAAGCCUGAUGCAGCAACGCCGCGUGAGGGACGACGGCCUUCGGGUUGUAAACCUCUUUUAGCAAGGAAGAAGCGAAAGUGACGGUACUUGCAGAAAAAGCGCCGGCUAACUACGUGCCAGCAGCCGCGGUAAUACGUAGGGCGCAAGCGUUAUCCGGAAUUAUUGGGCGUAAAGAGCUCGUAGGCGGUUUGUCGCGUCUGCUGUGAAAACUGGAGGCUCAACCUCCAGCCUGCAGUGGGUACGGGCAGACUAGAGUGCGGUAGGGGAGAUUGGAAUUCCUGGUGUAGCCGGUGGAUGCGCAGAAUAUCACGGAGGAACACCGAUGGGGAAGGCAGAAUCUCGGGGCCGUAACUGACGCUGAGGAACCGAAGGGUG
rnacentral:rRNA from 1 species